GAUGAACGCUGGCGGCGUGCCUAAUACAUGCAAGUCGAGCGAACGGACGAGAAGCUUGCUUCUCUGAUGUUAGCGGCGGACGGGUGAGUAACACGUGGAUAACCUACCUAUAAGACUGGGAUAACUUCGGGAAACCGGAGCUAAUACCGGAUAAUAUUUUGAACCGCAUGGUUCAAAAGUGAAAGACGGUCUUGCUGUCACUUAUAGAUGGAUCCGCGCUGCAUUAGCUAGUUGGUAAGGUAACGGCUUACCAAGGCAACGAUGCAUAGCCGACCUAAGAGGGUGAUCGGCCACACUGGAACUGAGACACGGUCCAGACUCCUACGGGAGGCAGCAGUAGGGAAUCUUCCGCAAUGGGCGAAAGCCUGACGGAGCAACGCCGCGUGAGUGAUGAAGGUCUUCGGAUCGUAAAACUCUGUUAUUAGGGAAGAACAUAUGUGUAAGUAACUGUGCACAUCUUGACGGUACCUAAUCAGAAAGCCACGGCUAACUACGUGCCAGCAGCCGCGGUAAUACGUAGGUGGCAAGCGUUAUCCGGAAUUAUUGGGCGUAAAGCGCGCGUAGGCGGUUUUUUAAGUCUGAUGUGAAAGCCCACGGCUCAACCGUGGAGGGUCAUUGGAAACUGGAAAACUUGAGUGCAGAAGAGGAAAGUGGAAUUCCAUGUGUAGCGGUGAAAUGCGCAGAGAUAUGGAGGAACACCAGUGGCGAAGGCGACUUUCUGGUCUGUAACUGACGCUGAUGUGCGAAAGCGUGGGGAUCAAACAGG
rnacentral:rRNA from 1 species